rnacentral:rRNA from 1 species
AUGAAGGACCUAAUAGUCCGAUUUUGGCCUGCCGAGCCCAUGCCCAACAGCUACUUCGGACUCGUGAAGCGGCUUGUGAGUUCCUGCCCGCGGCUUGAAGUCAUAAAGCGGUCGGUCUGCAUUGAAGGUGCGCGGAUGGCCUUUGCCCGCGCCAAGAUGCACUGGGCGAAGAUGGAUGCCAAGAAGCUGAUGACCGAGGGGCCACCUGAGGGCAAGGAGCACCGCCGACCCGAGCUACAUUUUGAUAGUGUCCUGGAGGGAUCCCGCCUUGUGGCAGAGCAAUGUGCGAAGGAUGUGAUCUUUGAAUGA